AAAGUUUUGUCUUGCGGCGACGACGCUGGCAAGUCUGUGCCAAGCUGCCAGGAUACCUCUAGGCGCUCCUGAAUUUCCUUAUUUCUACUCUAUACAUCAUGGCUAUGGCGCCACAAGCUAUCAAAAUGUGCAGAACAAGACGACCAUGAGUCUUCGGUGUAUGAUGAGAUUCCUGAAAUUGAUGAACAUCAACAUUUGGAACAAAUAAUUACUGUGGAAAACGAUCAUCACCAAGAACCGUCUUUGGAUACUGAUCAUCCC